GAUGAACGCUGGCGGCGUGCCUAAUACAUGCAAGUCGAGCGAACAGACGAGGAGCUUGCUCCUCUGACGUUAGCGGCGGACGGGUGAGUAACACGUGGAUAACCUACCUAUAAGACUGGGAUAACUUCGGGAAACCGGAGCUAAUACCGGAUAAUAUAUUGAACCGCAUGGUUCAAUAGUGAAAGACGGUUUUGCUGUCACUUAUAGAUGGAUCCGCGCCGCAUUAGCUAGUUGGUAAGGUAACGGCUUACCAAGGCAACGAUGCGUAGCCGACCUGAGAGGGUGAUCGGCCACACGGGAACUGAGACACGGUCCAGACUCCUACGGGAGGCAGCAGUAGGGAAUCUGCCGCAAUGGGCGAAAGCCUGACGGAGCAACGCCGCGUGAGUGAUGAAGGUCUUCGGAUCGUAAAACUCUGUUAUUAGGGAAGAACAAAUGUGUAAGUAACUGUGCACGUCUUGACGGUACCUAAUCAGAAAGCCACGGCUAACUACGUG
rnacentral:rRNA from 1 species